rnacentral:rRNA from 1 species
UCCUACGGGAGGCAGCAGUGAGGAAUAUUGGACAAUGGGUGCGAGCCUGAUCCAGCCAUCCCGCGUGAAGGACUAAGGCCUUAUGGGUUGUAAACUUCUUUUAUACUGGGAUAAACCUACUUACGCGUAAGUAGCUGAAGGUACAG